GCUGCAGCCGGUGCCGCUGCCACUCCCGGGAGCAUGAAGGACCGAACCCAGGAGCUCCGCACGGCCAAGGACAGCGAUGACGAUGACGACGUCACUGUCGCCGUGGACCGAGACCGCUUCAUGGACGAGUUCUUCGAGCAGGUGGAGGAGAUCCGGGGCUUCAUUGACAAGAUCGCGGAGAACGUGGAGGAGGUGAAACGGAAGCACAGCACCAUCCUGGCCUCCCCCAACCCCGACGAGAAGACAAAGGAGGAGCUGGAGGAGCUCAUGUCCGACAUCAAGAAGACGGCCAACAAAGUGCGGUCCAAGCUAAAGAGCAUUGAGCAGAGUAUCGAGCAGGAGGAAGGCCUGAACCGCUCCUCGGCCGACCUGAGGAUCCGGAAGACACAGCACUCCACCCUGUCCAGGAAGUUUGUGGAGGUCAUGUCCGAGUACAACGCCACGCAGUCCGACUACCGGGAGCGCUGCAAGGGCCGCAUCCAGAGGCAGCUGGAGAUCACCGGCCGGACCACGACCAGCGAGGAGCUAGAGGACAUGCUGGAGAGUGGGAACCCCGCCAUCUUUGCCUCCGGGAUCAUCAUGGACUCCAGCAUCUCCAAGCAGGCUCUGAGCGAGAUCGAGACGCGGCACAGCGAGAUCAUCAAGUUGGAGAACAGCAUCCGCGAGCUGCACGACAUGUUCAUGGACAUGGCCAUGCUGGUGGAGAGCCAGCCUCAGGCUGCUUUCCUGAAGUCCUGCCCGAGCCCCCACCCCAAGGCCAAGGAGGAAACCCCCUGGAGCUCGCCUGCCUUCGGCCCCCCAGGGGGAGAUGAUUGACAGGAUCGAGUACAACGUGGAGCACUCGGUGGACUACGUGGAACGGGCUGUGUCUGACACCAAGAAGGCGGUCAAGUACCAGAGCAAGGCGCGCCGGAAGAAGAUCAUGAUCAUCAUCUGCUGCGUCGUCCUGGGCAUUGUCAUCGCCUCCACCUUCGGAGGCAUCUUCGGGUAGACACCGCCCCCCUGCCGCCCCGCCCCGAAGGGCCGUGCUGAGGAGGCCCUGGCUGCCGGCCGCCCCACCUUCUGGCUCACAGCCUCCUCCCUCCCACCCCCUUCUGCUCCUCUCUGCCCUGGGCUGUGUCGUGUGCAUGUUCUUUGUGACAGUGCGUGUCUGUACGGGGAGGCAGACGGGAGCUGGGCUGUGGCAGGGGCGGCCCGGGGCAGACUCAGGCCCUGGCCCAGGCCGCCCCGCCCCGCCCCAAAGAGACAGGGCUGCCUGGUAGCACCUGCUACCCCUCCUCACCUGGGACCCAGGCUCUGUCUGGACCUAGCCUUGCCCAUCUGCCCUGUCCUCUCCAGCUGUCCCCCAAGCCAAGCCCCCUGAGGGGUGGGGACCAGCUGGCCAUGGUGCUGCUUUUCAGGUUAGGGGAGGGGUGGCCCAGAGGGACAACCCAGCUCUGAGCCUCUAUCAGCUGACCACUGCCACAAGGCUCAGGGAGCUGUGGCCGCUGACCGGGUGGAGGCCAGGGUUUCCCCCCAACCCAGGGGCAAGGCCCAACAGCUUCCCCGCCCACAUCCCUGCAGCCCCGGGAGCUAAAGCACCCCUUCGGGCUAGGCCUGACCCCAGAUGACCCGUGCAGAGGCUGGUGGUCAGGCCUGUGCCCAGGCGUCCCCAGCAGGCCUCAAGCCAUGCUGCAUGUUCGGGACAGCAGUCCCUGUGCCCGCGUGCUCUAGGUCAGAUGUCCCUUGAGGCCUGCAGUCUCAUCCCGCCCUGCUGUCCCCGCUGAUGUGCCAUGUGGGUGUCAGAUGUCCUAGACACAGUAUUCAGCAGUGGGGGGAGGGGCUGCUCUCCCCUCCCUGCCCACCUGGAGUCAGAGUGGGGCCCCACCCCCGAGAGCCCUGCCACGGGCAGGGGUGUGCUGGGGCCGCAUCCGCCCUCCAGAAUUCCCGCGCUUGGCUCCUGCCGUGACCGUGACCACAACAGCCACUUCCCACCCCCUUCACCAAAGGUCUUGGUACAACCAGCUGCCCAUUUUGUGAGGUUUUUAUGUAGAAUAAACAUUUGUAUCUGUACCAGGCCUGGAUCCCCUCUCUGCGGCGUCAUGCUCAGAGCUCUUGUGACACCAGGGGGAAGGGGCUCCGAGCUGAAGAAUCCCACCCACAAAAGCUCUCCACGGCCGCGGGCUCAGCUCCGGCCACGCAGUAGAUAAACACAGGCUUUUCUGCGGGCCCAGGCCCAACACUGCGCUCACCGCAGUCACACGGCCAGAGCAUCCGCUGAACGCAAGGCCUGUGCCUGACAGCUGGGGAGACCCAGGCCCGGGAGCCCCACCCCAGGCCCAGCGUUGUCGCUCCAGGCAAAGCGAGGUGCUUGUCACAUGUCAUCUCCCUUCCCCCACGCCCAGGAGUCUCAAGUGACCCGAGACCCCUCACCAGCCUGCUUAGAGCCCCCCAGAGCAGGACUGCCCUUCUGAGCACUGGGGACAUGACAGGGGACAGGAAAGCCUCCCCCCAGGGGAAGCACCC